GUAAAACUGGCUCCUGGGGCUGGCGUACGGAACGAACGGCGUCGGCGCCUCUGCGGAGGCCUCGGGCCGGGCGCGCCCGGGAGUUGUGCGAUCUCAACAGAAAACUUUCUUAAACUCUGGAGUAACGACGUGGAGUCAAAAGAAAAGAAAUGGCAACAAUGAAAAGUUUCCAGACAUAAACCACCCAACCCCAAGUUGUUUCUAGCCACUGUUGCCUGUGCGGCCUCCCACCGAGCCACUGCAGCUGUUCCGAGGACAUCCUUGCUCUUUGCACUGCCGAGCCCUCGUGCCCUCGGUGUCACAAAAGGCCAGCCAACCUUGGCACGGAUUCAUCAUGUAUGACUUUAUCCUCAAAAUCCUGUAUGUAUGGAUGUCAAAGAAGCAGAAGGGAAACAGGAACAAAAGGGAUUAAGGAGUCAAGAACAGGAAAGAAAUUUGGCUGGGCACAGGCAGAGCAGAAUGGAAGGAGGAGUUCUGGACGUGCUACCACUGCCUUGCAUACCUUGUGUGCUCCCAUAAUUUGCAGUGAUUCUCAGGAAAAUAGAAUGUAACCACAUUGUGAUUUCUGUACCUCUUCAAAGAUCCUGCUGGGAAAUGUACGCUUGGGAGAAAGAGUGAAAGUGUGGUUUGCACUGGCUCUCGGAGUUUGUUCCAUCCACCAGGAUGUGUGUAUGUAGAGUGGUUUGGACCUCACUCUCUGAAGUUUGUGUCACCCACCAGAAUAUAUGAAUAUGUAUGUAUGUAAGGCUGGGUUGGAGCUCGAUAUCUGGAGUUUGCUCUAGCCAUCCAUUAUGUGCAUGUAUGCACAUAUAUAUGUAUGUACAUGUGUAUGUAUGUACAUAUGAUUGUAAGUAUGUGUAAAAUAAAAGAUGCCUGUAAGAGAAGCUAAAUUUAAAAAGGUAAAGAAAAAGCUUGUUGGAACCUA